ACGACCUUACUUGAACAGGAUCUGUUCUAUAGGCUCGUACCGCUGCAUCCUUUACCAAUAAGGAGGCAAGCACUUCAGUCUGGUUGAUGCAUUCUCACCUCUAGGCCAGAGCGUGAUUAACUGCCAGCAUUCACCUGAUGGGUGUCAUCUGACGGCUGUAGAGGAUCGUUCCUGUCCAGCUCACACUGGUGCAGGGUGGCCCAGAGGUUGUCUGACAGACU
rnacentral:snoRNA from 16 species